UGGGGAAUCUUGGACAAUGGGCGCAAGCCUGAUCCAGCCAUGCCGCGUGGAUGAUGAAGGCCUUAGGGUUGUAAAAUCCUUUCGUGGGGGACGAUAAUGACGGUACCCCAAGAAGAAGCUCCGGCUAACUUCGUGCCAGCAGCCGCGGUAAUACGAAGGGGGCUAGCGUUGUUCGGAUUUACUGGGCGUAAAGCGCGUGUAGGCGGGUCGUUAAGUUGGGGGUGAAAUCCCGAGGCUCAACCUCGGAACUGCCUUCAAAACUGGCGACCUGGACUCAAGCAGAGGCAAGUGGAAUUGCGAGUGUAGAGGUGAAAUUCGUAGAUAUUAGCAGGAACACCGGUGGCGAAGGCGGCUAUCUGGACGACAACUGACGCUGAGGCGCGAAAGCGUGGGGAUCAAACAGGAUUAGAUACCCUUGUAGUCCCUGAGCGGGCUGGCAAGGCGCAU
rnacentral:rRNA from 1 species